UACGGGGGGUGCGAGCGUUGUCCGGAUUCACUGGGCGUAAAGGGCGCGUAGGCGGCUGACUCAGUCUGGUCUAUAAGGUGUGGGCUUACCCCGCACACGGAUUGGGGACGGGUUGGCUGGGGGUCGGUCGAGGGAAGCGGAAUGCCGGGUGUAGUGGUGAAAUGCGUAGAGAUCCGGCGGAACACCGGUGGUGAAGGCGGCUUCCUUGGCCGAACCCGACGCUGAGGCGCGAGGGCGCGGGGAGCGAACCGG
rnacentral:rRNA from 1 species